rnacentral:rRNA from 1 species
AUUGAACGCUGGCGGCAGGCCUAACACAUGCAAGUCGAGCGAGCGGCGGACGGGUGAGUAAUGUAUGGGGACUGCCCGAUAGAGGGGGAUAACUACUGGAAACGGUGGCUAAUACCGAAUACUAUCGGAUAACCCAUAUGGGAUUAGGUAGUUGGAGGGGUAAUGGCUCACCAAGGCGACGAUCCCUAGCUGGUCUGAGAGGCUGAUCAGCCACACUGGGACUGAGACACGGCCCAGACUCCUACGGAGGCAGCAUGGGGGAAUAUUGCACAAUGGGCGCAAGCCUGAUGCAGCCAUGCCGCGUGUAUGAAGAAGGCCCUAGGGUUGUAAAGUACUUUCAGGCGGGAGGCGUUACCGACAGAAUAAGCACCGGCUAACUCCGUGCCAGCAGCCGCGGUAAUAC